rnacentral:rRNA from 1 species
CCUACGGGUGGCAGCAGUGAGGAAUAUUGGUCAAUGGGCGAGAGCCUGAACCAGCCAAGUCGCGUGAAGGAUGACGGCCCUACGGGUUGUAAACUUCUUUUGUCAGGGAGCAAUUGGGUCCACGCGUGGGCUUAGCGAGAGUACCUGAAGAAACAGCCUCGGCUAACUCCGUGCAAGCAGCCGCGGUAAUACGGAGGAUGCGAGCGUUAUCCGGAUUUAUUGGGUUUAAAGGGUGCGUAGGCGGAAUAUCAAGUCCGCGGGAAAAAUUCGGGGCUCAACCCCGUCGUGCCGUUGAAACUGAUGUUCUAGAGUGGGCGAGAAGUAUGCGGAAUGCGUGGUGUAGCGGUGAAAUGCAUAGAUAUCACGCAGAACUCCGAUUGCGAAGGCAGCAUACCGGCGCCCAACUGACGCUGAAGCACGAAAGCGUGGGUAUCGAACAGGAUUAGAUACCCCAGUAGUC